CCUACGGGAGGCAGCAGUUGGGAAUAUUGCACAAUGGGGGAAACCCUGAUGCAGCGACGCCGCGUGAGUGAAGAAGUAAUUCGUUAUGUAAAGCUCUAUCAGCAGGGAAGAAAAUGACGGUACCUGAGUAAGAAGCCCCGGCUAACUACGUGCCAGCAGCCGCGGUAAUACGUAGGGGGCAAGCGUUAUCCGGAUUUACUGGGUGUAACGGGAGCGUAGACGGCAGUGCAGGUCUGGAGUGAAAGGCGGGGGCUCAACCCCUGGACUGCUCUGGAAACUGUACGGCUGGAGUGCAGGAGAGGUAAGUGGAAUUCCUAGUGUAGCGGUGAAAUGCGUAGAUAUUAGGAGGAACACCAGUGGCGAAGGCGGCUUACUGGACUGUAACUGACGUUGAGGCUCGAAAGCGUGGGGAGCAAACAGGAUUAGAUACCCGGGUAGUC
rnacentral:rRNA from 1 species